ensembl:lncRNA
CCCUUGAUGUCCAUGGUGGUGAGGUUUAGUGUUCAAAGUUGCUAAACUGCUUAUUUUGGCUGCCCUCUGCUGGAGACUUUGUGCACUCCUGGUUCAUUUAUUUAAAUUUUUUUCUGUUUUUCUCUUUUAGGACUGUAACUCUGGACACCAGCGGAGAGAGCGCAGGUCUCUGGACUUCCAUGACAGUGCUUCCAUAUCCAUGGGUCCUCUGAUGUUGUCUGAAGGGAAAACAGAUAAGUGGUUCCCAGAUCAAGUGAAGGUGUCUGAGGCUUCUUGUCUGUGUGCUUCUCUGAUGCUGUUACUUGUUCCUCUGAUGAGUGUCCUGACCCUCUUUUAGUUUACUUCCACAAAAAAAAAAAUGCAUGUUGUCUAUUAAUGUUGAACUGAUGUUACACUUGUGGUGGGUUUCUAAAUAUUUUUAUGUGGUGUCAUAAAUAAUGAUUUAACCCUUUACAUUAGUAAUUAUAUACUGCAUUCAUUCUGUUUUACUUGAGAGGAUGUCUGCAAUAGCAAACAGAAUCAGAUUUGUGUUAAUUCAAAUCAUGCAAAAAUAUUAAUAGGGUAAUUUCUGUUUUGCGGUUCCUUUUCAAAAUUUUAACUCUUAGUAGUUGAUGGAAAUUUUUCUAUAAAAUGCUGAUUGUCAGAAAUAGCUGAACUGAAAUAUGUGAUGUUGUGUUAGUAGAAUAUUAUGAGUUCUUUCAUUAAGAAUUAUAAGUUUAAUAAUAUUCAUAUUCAUAUUCUGGCAUAAUGUUUUAUUCUGGAAAUUAUUAUGGGGCAUAAAUUAUAGGGGUUAUUAAAAUUCAGUGUGAAUGCCCCAGAAUGUAACUGAAAAAAUAAUUACAUAAUAAUUAGUAAAAAGUAUUAAGCAAAAUUAGUUUUCUUGUUUCAUUUUAUUCUAAUUUCCUUUCAGUAAAACUAAGAAAAAGAUUAACAUUGAUAACAUUAUCUUUCUUUGCAGUCAUUUUGCUUAUUGUUCAUAGAGAUGCUAUAUGAUAAAAUGCAUGAGAAGAGUCUUGCCAUUCUAUUUAACAUUCUCAAGGUUUUUAAGAAUGUUUCCGCACUGGUUGAAUUGUGCUUUCCUUGAAGAUAAGAUGGGGUGAGUUUCAGUCACUGGUUAGAUUAACAAAUAUAAGUAUUGUUCUUGUUCUAAAAGAAAGUGAAGAGAAACUGAAAAUGAGGAGAUGGUAGGGCAGAGUGCAUUCAGUGUGAUGCAAAUAUUCAGAAAAGGUCAUGUCUGACCAGUCCUCUGAUCCUCUUCUUGAAUAUUCCUGCAUUUUACUAAAGCCUCUGUNGUGGUUUACAGAAUUGUUAGCUGCAUUUUUGUAACAUUUAGUUUUUAAUUUUUCACUGCAGUUUUCUUAAUGCUGAUGUUUUUUUUUAUAGACGUCUUUACAGAAAAAAAAAACAUUACAAAUCAAGUCUAUAUUUAUGAGACUGUUAAUUUGAUCAAAAGCAGCGUUGGGGGUAAUGCAUUACAAGUAAUGUGAGUAAUGUAAUAAGAUUUUUUUUUUUCAAGCAACUAUUAAAAUAACAGAUUACUUUUUAAUUUACAUGAAAAUAUCAGAGUUACUUUUUUCAAAAAAUAAACACCAGUUACUUUAUUUUCCCAUUUGUUGACACACAGUCCUACUGACCCAUGUUGAGAGAAAUCAGGAGUAAGUGCAGAGGUGUUGAGUGCUGUGAACAUGAUGCUUACUGUAGCUCUAGACUAAAUGUGAACAUGCAUUUUCUCAUCACACUUGCACAAAAACAGAAUCAGUGAAACAGUGAAAUGCAAACUCAGUAUAUGAUGCAAACCUACAUUGAUUAAAUAUGUUAAAUAACACACAUAUCCUUUAUGUAUUUAAUCCAAUUUGAUUAACUGGUGUCUUUGCUGCUGACCUUCAAAGAUCCAGUUCAACCAUACUAAUAAAUGAAAAUGACUUUAAAUAAACAUAAUGUCACAGUUAUGUUCUGUUAUUGCUUUUC